UACAGAGGUGGCAAGCGUUGUUCGGAAUUACUGGGCGUAAAGGGCGCGUAGGCGGUCUUGUAAGUCUUGUGUGAAAUCCCUCGGCUUAACUGAGGAACUGCACGGGAUACUGCGAGACUUGAAAUCGGGAGAGGGAAGCGGAAUUCCGGGUGUAGCGGUGAAAUGACGUAGAUAUCCGGAGGAACACCGGUGGCGAAGGCGGCUUCCUGGACCGACACUGACGCUGAGGCGCGAAAGCUAGGGGAGCAAACGGG
rnacentral:rRNA from 1 species